CCUUCCGACUCCCUCCCGGCGCCACUAAGUUUCUUCGCCUGGAACCGCGCAGAGCCCGGGCCGGGCCGGAGCGGCGCCCCCGCUGCCCUGUCCCCGCGCGCAGACACAGGGCCCGGCCCCGGCCCCGGCCCCGGCCCCCGCCGAGGCAUGCUGUGCGGCCGCUGGAGGAGCCGCUGGAGGAGCUGCCGGCGCCGGGAGCCCCCGGGGCCGGCCCAGGUCACAGCGUCCGUCGCGGUCGCGUCCCCGCCGGCGCCCCAGGACGGCGGCACCAAGAGGCCCGGGCUUCGAGCGCUGAAGAAGAUGGGCCUGACGGAGGAUGAGGACGUGCACGCCAUGCUGCGGGGCUCCCGGCUCUGCAAGAUCCGCUCGCGGACGUGGCAGAAGGAGCGGCUGUACCGGCUGCAGGAGGACGGCCUGAGUGUGUGGUUCCAGCGGCGCAUCCCGCAUGCGCCGUCGCAGCACAUCUUCUUCGUGCAGCACAUCGAGGCCGUCCGCGAGGGGCACCAGUCCGAGGGCCUGCGGCGCUUCGGGGGUGCUUUCGCGCCCGAGCGCUGCCUCACCAUCGCCUUCAAGGGCCGCCGCAAGAACCUGGACCUGGUGGCGCCCACGGCCGAGGAGGCGCAGCGCUGGGUGCGCGGCUUGGCCAAGCUGCGCACACGCCUGGAUGCCAUGAGCCAGCGCGAGCGCCUGGAUCACUGGAUCCACUCCUACCUGCACCGGGCGGACUCCAAUCAGGACAGCAAGAUGAGCUUCAAGGAGAUCAAGAGCCUGCUCAGGAUGCUCAAUGUAGACAUGAACGACAUGUACGCCUACCGCCUCUUCAAGGAGUGUGACCGCUCCAACAACGAGCGGCUGGAGGGGACCGAGAUCGAGGAGUUCCUGCUGCGGCUGCUGAAGCGCCCGGAGCUGGAGGAGAUCUUCCACCGGUACUCGGGCGAGGACCGCGUGCUCAGUGCCCCGGAGCUUCUGGAGUUCCUGGAGGACCAGGGCGAGGACGGCGCCACGCUGGCCCGCGCGCGGCGGCUCAUCCAGACCCAUGAGCUCAACGAGACAGCCAAGCAGCACGAGCUGAUGACGCUGGACGGCUUCAUGAUGUACCUGCUGUCGCCCGAGGGGGCUGCCCUGGACCCGGCCCACACGUGCGUGUUCCAGGACAUGGGCCAGCCCCUCGCCCACUACUUCAUCUCCUCUUCGCACAACACCUAUCUGACCGACUCCCAGAUCGGGGGGCCCAGCAGCACCGAGGCCUACGUGAGGGCCUUCGCCCAGGGGUGCCGCUGCGUGGAGUUGGACUGCUGGGAGGGGCCAGGAGGGGAGCCCAUCAUCUACCACGGCCACACGCUCACCUCCAAGAUCCUCUUCCGGGACGUGGUCCAGGUGGUGCGUGACCACGCCUUCUCGCUGUCCCCAUACCCCGUCAUCCUGUCCCUUGAGAACCACUGUGGGCUGGAGCAGCAGGCUGUUAUGGCUCGCCACCUCCGCACCAUCCUAGGGGACAUGCUGGUGACGCAGGCCCUGGACACCCAGAACCCUGAAGAGCUGCCGUCCCCAGAGCAGCUGAAGGGCCGGGUCCUGGUGAAGGGGAAGAAGCUGCCAGCUGCUCGGGGCGAGGAUGGUCGGGUUCUCUCCGACCGGGAGGAGGACGAGGAAGAGGAGGAGGAAGAAGAGGGGAUAGAGGCUGUGGAACAGAAGCCAGGGGCCAAGCAGAUCUCUCCGGAGCUGUCAGCCUUGGUGGUAUACUGCUGUGCCGCCCGCCUGCGGACCCUGAGCCCGGCCCCUGUGCCGCCCCAGCCCCGCCACGUCAGCUCCCUCAGCGAGCGCAAGGCCAAGAAGCUCAUCCGAGAGGCGGGGAACAGCCUCGUCAGGCACAACACCCACCAGCUGACCCGUGUCUACCCGCUGGGGCUUCGGAUGAACUCGGCCAACUACAGCCCCCAGGAGAUGUGGAACUCGGGGUGCCAGCUGGUGGCCCUGAACUUCCAGACGCCAGGCUACGAGAUGGACCUCAACGCCGGGCGCUUCCUCGUCAACGGGCAGUGUGGCUACGUCCUGAAACCCGAGUGCCUGCGGCAGCCCGACACGGACUUCGACCCCGAGAGCCCGGGGCCCCCCAGAACUACUCUCACCGUGCAGGUGCUGACCGCACAGCAGCUGCCCAAGCUGAACGCGGAGAAGCCCAGCUCCAUCGUGGACCCCCUGGUGCGCAUUGAGAUCCACGGGGUGCCCAUGGACUGCGCGCGCAAGGAAACCACCUACGUGCUCAACAACGGUUUCAACCCCCGCUGGGGGCAGACCCUGCAGUUCCAGCUGCGGGUCCCGGAGCUGGCGCUGGUGCGGUUCGUGGUCGAAGAUUACGACACCACGUCCCCCAACGACUUUGUGGGCCAGUUCACACUGCCUCUCAGCAGCCUGAAGCCAGGGUACCGUCACAUCCACCUGCUCUCCAAGGACGGGGCCUCCCUGUCCCCAGCCACGCUCUUCGUCCAUAUCCGAGUCCAGCGCUCCUGAAGGCCCGACUGACCCACCUCGGGGACCUGCCUGCCGACACCAGUCUGUGUGCCACCCACCGCGGAGGCCUUCUCCCCUGGGCGGUGGGGGGGCCAGCCCACCCAGCCUGCCACUGCCGCAGCCCCUCCUGCAGGCCGGUGGUUGACCUCCGCCCCGCAGCCCUGGGAAGGGCCCCAGUUCAAGGCCUCGGCCCACCCACACUGUGGCCCACGGAAAGCCAGGCCUGCUGCUGCCAGGAGCCAGAAGACCUGGGAGCAGGACAAACAAGUGAGAUGUAUCGAGCGGACAAGGCAAUUCCUCCCCCACCCUGGAAAUGGAUGCCCCGCCCGCAGCCCAGAGAAAAGCCAAGACAGAAAGGUGAAGCUCCCCCGUCCCAGACGCCGCACCUGCCCGCAGUCAAGGUUCUUGAACUGACCGCAGCUGCCCCACUAAGGCUCCCCAGGGGCAGCCCGCAGGCCGGGCUGCGUUCACUCAGCAGCAGGGCAGAGCCCCAGCCUCGGUCUCCUGUCCGAGCAGGUGGGCCGGGCCAGAAGGCGGCUGCCCCCUUGGCAGGUGGGCCCUGGCCAGAGACACACUCCCAACCCCCUCCCCUGGCCGGGCAGCACCUCCCCCCUGCUUCUAGACCACUUUGCCCUGAAGCUGCCCAGGCCUUUGGGCCACCCCGUGGGUUGGCUAAAUGCUGGUCAUCUCUGAGCAAAGAAUUCAAGACCACUGGGUCACCCACCCUCGGGCCUCAGUGAGCCGGGGAGUAAGGGUGGGGUGGGGCGGGGCAAUCAGAAGGGAGGUGCAGGCAGGGUCCCAAGGGGCUAGGUGUGGGCCAGCCUCCAAGCCAGAGGUCAGCAUCUACGGAAUUGGG